rnacentral:tRNA from 1 species
GGGCGAUUAGCUCAGCUGGUUAGAGCACGUCUCUGAUAAGGACGGGGUCACUAGUUCAAAUCUAGUAUCGCCCA